UACGGGGGGGGCAAGCGUUGUUCGGAAUUACUGGGCGUGAAGGGCUCGUAGGCGGCCAACUAAGUCGGAUGUGAAAUCCCCAGGCUUAACCUGGGAACUGCAUCCGAUACUGGAUGGCUUGAAUUCGGGAGAGGGAUGCAGAAUUCCAGGUGUAGCGGUGAAAUGCGUAGAUAUCUGGAGGAAUACCGGUGGCGAAGGCGGCAUCCUGGACCGAGAUUGACGCUGAUGAGCGAAAGCUAGGGGAGCAAACGGG
rnacentral:rRNA from 1 species